UGUAAGAUUCUAGAAUUUUCUACAAAGCUUUCCCCCACAAAACAGGUCCAUAAGAUAAGAAACUCCAAUUCGCAGGCGUGUUAAAUUUGCUACAUCUAAUCAAAUUUAAUUUUUGAAUACUAGCCAAAUCAAUCAGCGCAAGUUACCGAAUGAUUUUGGUGUUACCAUCCCAGCCAAUACUGUUUGGCUUUCAACCAAUACUGCUUGGCUCUAGUUUUUCACAAAAUCUCCUCCUCUGCCACAAUUAUCAACGGUAGUGUGCGGGAUGCACCAUCAAAAUACAUCUCCCAGUGUGGGCCGAUGCUUUCGGUCAACAUCACCUCUUCAUCAGGUAGAUUGGUGAUUAAUGGAGAGUCGUCGGGGAGAGGGUGAGCAGCUAGGAAAUCGGCCAGUGCUUGCCCUUUGAUGGCCUUCUGAGGCACGUAGGUGAUGUCGAACUCCAUCAUCAAUACUGCCCACUUGCCAAUCCCCAGAAGAAAGAAGAAAGCGCCUCUUGAAAGCAUUCUUUGAAAGCCUCAAUUCCUCUCUCACUCACGAUGAAAGCUAAGAGCUUGCUCGAAGACAGCCCAAGACGGGGAUUUGACCUCUUCUUGUUGAAUUGAUUCAGAUAGACUCCAAAAAUCGCAAGAUCAUGUCGAGAAAGUAGAAAAGCCACAGGCUCUCGUUCAUCUUACCAUCUUGUUAGAAAAAACUAAAUUUUUUAGUUUUGAUGGUCCUCUAAAACAAAUUCUUGUCCUUGGAUUAUUGAUUCUGGCUGAGUUACUCCAAAUGGGGGGAUUCAUUCUCCCUUUUUGGAUGGCAUCAUCCAUGGAGGGGAGUCAGAUUUCUGCGGAUUCCAAAAAAAAGAGAAUCAUUUUCUUUCAUGCGUCUCAGUUUAUUCUUUUUCUUGCUAGGGCUUUGAAAGCAAGAACAUCCUGCUUCCUGCUGUGUUCGGGAUCCAGAUCGGGAUCGGGAUAAAGAGUUGGCCGGAUUGAAAGAGCGAGCGCGGGUGAUCAAACUUCUUGGAAAAAUCUAUGCGAGGCAGACAGCUAGCUAUUUUGCUUGACAAGUUCUAUUAAACAAUGAAGCCUAGCUGAGAUACUGGAUGCUUACCGAAAGAGGGGAAUUGCAAAUAUUUUUUUCUCUUUUUUCCAAAUUUUAUGAAAAAUUAUGUUUUUAUUUUCUUUUUUUUUUUGAAAAAUGGAUGUUAUAAAAAUAUUAUGUUCUUUUCAUGCUUUUAUAAGAACCAAUCAACCAAAUAGACAAAUAUCUCUUACCAGAUUUCGGAAAAACCAAACACCCCCUUACAAAAUUAAGGGCCACCGUGGCAUGCAACCCACCCAAUGGGGCCAGAGAGAGAGAGAGAGAGAGAGAGAGAGAGAGACCAAAAAAAAAAAAAA